CAGUCGCCACGGUAAUACGAAGGGGGCUAGCGUUGCUCGGAAUUACUGGGCGUAAAGGGAGCGUGGGCGGACAUUUAAGUCAGGGGUGAAAUCCCAGAGCUCAACUCUGGAACUGCCUUUGAUACUGGGUGUCUUGAGUGUGAUAGAGGUAUGUGGAACUCCGAGUGUAGAGGUGAAAUUCGUAGAUAUUCGGAAGAACACCAGUGGCGAAGGCGACAUACUGGAUCAUUACUGACGCUGAGGCUCGAAAGCGUGGGGAGCAAACAGGAUUAGAUACCCCCGUAGUCCCUGUCUCUUAUAC
rnacentral:rRNA from 1 species